AUGGGGUGCUGUUGGGCGCUGUGGGGCCGCCCAUCCCCCAGCGGGCGCAGGGCUCUGGGUGCUCCCCUGGGACCUCCGGGGGGGGGAGGGGCGGGAAAAGGGGAAGUUGGGGGGCGGGGGGGGGAGGGGCGCCUACCCAGGGCGCCGUGGGGCGGAGGAGUGCGGGCCCCACGCCCCGGCUAUGGGGCAGGAGAGGGGCCGCCGUGGGGCAGAGGGGCCCUGAGCCGCGCCCAGGCGGUCAAGGUCACCGCCCCCAGCCUCUUCCCAUUGGUCGCCUGCCCCGCCGGCCCCGCCCCCCCGGCGGCCGUGGCCUGUCUGGUGGACGGUUACUUCCCGGAGCCCGCGGAGGUGACGUGGGAGGGCGGCCCCUCCCCCACCGCCGCCCGCACCUUCCCCGCCCUCCAGCGCCCCACGGGCCUCUUCACCCUGAGCAGCCGCCUCGCCCUGGGCGGGGCCAGCCCCGCCCACCUGCGCUGCACCGCCCGGCACCCGCCCUCCGGCACCACCCGCACCGCCGACCUCGCAGCACUCCCCCCCGGCAGAGCCCCCACCGCCGCCCUCUUCCACUCCUGCUCGGCCGCCCACGUCCGCCUCGUCUGCCUGGUCACGGGCUUCUCGCCGGCGCCCGUCGGGCUCCAGUGGCUGGAGGAUGGGCGGGGCCUGGAGGCCACGCCCCCGCCCGAGCCCGCGGCCGCCGAGGCCGCCGGCGGCACCUUCCGCCUCAGCGCCUACCUCAACGUCUCCUUGGCCGACUGGCAGGAGAAGACCUACGCGUGCAAGGUCACCCACGGCGCCACCGGCACCGUCACGGAGGCCGUCGGCGGCCGCUGCUCCGCCUCCCCAUUGGACGGCAGCAGCAUCCGCGUCUUCGUCCUGCCCCCCACCCCCUCCGAGCUCUACAUCUCCCAGAGCCCCCGGCUCCGCUGCCUGGUCACCAGCCUGCCCAGUGACGAGGGGCUGGAGGUGACGUGGAGGCGGGGCCUCGGCGGGGACGUCCUGACCCCCGCCGGCCCCGGCCAAUGGCUGCCCCAGUACAACGGCACCUACAGCUACGUCAGCGAGGUGGGCGUGGCCACCCACGAGUGGGAGAGCGGCCGCGCCUUCGCCUGCGUUGUCCGGCACCGCGACCUGCCGGCCGACGUCGUCCGCACCGUCGCCAGGAAGCCCGGCACCCGCCUGGCCCCCAGCGUGUACCCGCUGGGCCCCUCCCCCGAGGAGCUGAGCAGCAACAGCGACAGCGUCACCCUGACCUGCCUCGUGCGGGGCUUCUACCCCGACGACAUCUCGGUCGAGUGGCAGCUCGACCACGCCCCCCUGGAGGCCUCGGCCUAUGACGUCACGCCGCCGGCCCGCGAGAAGCCGGGCGACGCCCGCUACUAUCUCUACAGCCGAUUGGCCGUCGGCAAGGCCCAGUGGGCGGGCGGGGCCCGCGUCGCCUGCAUGGUGGUCCACGAGGGGCUCCCCAUGAGGUUCAUCCAACGGGCGUUCACCGCCACGCCCGGGCUCGUCCUGCCCGAGGACCUCUGCCACGCCCCCGACACGCCCGAGGGGCCCUGGGACACCAUCGCCGUCUUCAUCACCCUCUUCCUCCUCAGCGUCUGCUACAGCGCCACCGUCACCCUCUUCAAGGUGAAGUGGCUCCUCUCCAGCAUCAUCCAGCUCAAGCAAGGCCCCGCCCCCGCCUACAAGAACGUCAUCCACGGGGUGGUGUAGGGCGGGGCGGGUGGGCGUGUCCCCCACCCCCGAGCUGGCCGCCUCCUCCCAUUGGCUGCCGCCGUUGAGGGACAGCCAACCCGCCCCACCCCCACAACACCACCCACCCCACCCCCCCCACGGUGGGAAGGGCGGGGGGAGGGGGGGUAUCAUGGGUGCUCGGGGAGGAAAGCGGGGUGCCGGGUGGAGCAGGCGGGGUGCUGGGUGCCUCCCUCUCCCCACCCCCACCCCCAGGUGUUUCCUGUCCCCGCCCCUCCCCCACCGCGGGGGGUGAUGUCAGGCAGCACCUCAAAAUAGCACCCUGGGGGGGGGAGCUGGGGGGGGGCGGGGAUUGGGUCGCGCCGUGGGGCCGCAGCUGCUGGGUUAAGGCGGAGGCCACUGGGGCUACUGGGGGGUGGGGGGAGGGAGGGGACUGGCCAGUGGGGCUACCAAAGG